GGGAUGGUGCCUUUCACAUUUGAAUCAAUUUGGUACCGAUUCCCAGUACCUAGAAAUCAUAUGAGUACUUACUGGUACUUUUGAGUGUGUAUUAAAUGAACUAAUUGUCUUUUAAAUAUGAAAACCUUCAACCACAACUGUUUCUAAAUGAUGCAACAAUUGAAACCCACCUCCAUAUGCUCCUAAUCCUAUUCUAUGCCCUCUGGAAUAACUAUGAUGAAAUGAAACUAAAGCAAACUUCAGUACCAUCCAGCUGUUGAAUACUGUGGUGUUUCACAAACUAAAGCCAGCUCCAUGUACUCAUAUUGCUCUCCUGUCCCUUCUGGACAGACUGUGUGAUGGUUGGCUCCUUGUAGUAUUAAAAACUGCAAAUUAAACUGAAGCAAACAUCUUUGCAGUGAACUCAACUAAGCUAAACCAUCAAGCUAAUGGAGCAGAUUAAGACGAUGACGACUCAUUUAGAUCAAUGUCAAUAUCAGCAACACCCAGUCACCCAUCGCAUUUAGUAAAGCGAAGCCAAACUGUAUGGCGUCCCUCUGCCUACUCGGAAGUCAAAAUGUCCAAGUACCAAGGAGAGAGCGAACACACCAUUCUCUGCUAGCAACGAAAGCUCAAAUAUCAAGCUAAUACCAUCUUAAACUAUUUAUAGUAUGUAGCAGAGCAAGACAAUGAUGGCUAACUUAGAAAGUUGUCAAUGUUGUCAUCAUCACCCAGUCACCAUCACAUUUAGUGAAGUAGACCCAAACUUUAGAGUGCGUUCUUUCUACCAUGCUGCUUGCUCUGUUUACAACUCGCCCGCAGCGACUGACGACAUGACGCACUGUCCUUGAUCGGUACCACGGAAUUCGGUCGGUGCCUUAAAAGUACCGAAUACGGUGCCCAUCCGUAGGGAGGAUGAGAAGCUGUAGCUGACCUGAUUUGGCCCUCAUUAGUCAGAAGGUCUGGUUGUUUAAUGACAUCAUGUGGUUGAAUGCUGCUGCUGGCAGCUCAACUGCCUCGUUCACUGGUUAGUGAUGGAAGUCAUCUGGACAGACUAAAUGUUAUUUCAGUGUAAAACACCCCCUUAAAGGACAACCACUAAAAUCACACGGUUCCAUUUCUGUGGUAAAAAAAAACAUCCACACAAGAAUCUGUGAUGUCAGUGAUUUUCUACAACUGCGUUCUACUCUGGACUACUCACAGAUUUAAAGUGCAUGUCAAGUGUACCUCAGAGUCUUACCCCACCCACGUAUCAAUUUUAAAAACUGCAACAUUAGUAGGCGUUGCCUGGAGGACCGAGAGGGCGGAGCCGCGGCAGUGACGAAGACGAUGGCUAACUAGACGAAGCUAGCUCCCUUCACUCUGAGCAGUCAUUAGAAGUGGAGGACGUUUCUCCCCCUCCUUACCCAGACACUUGAGAAGAAAGGGACCAAGUCUAAUUGGAGGAGACAAGCGGACAUGAGCCUUAUUGUUUUGAGCUUGUGAGUUGCCUGAAAUUACCGGAACCGACCCAACAGAACCAUCUCUGAAUGUGAUCCUCUGGUGUCUGCAGCUGGUCUCCUGCUGGUGUCGUCAGGAUCAGGAGCUUCCAGAAGAAUGUGCCUUUCAAUGACUCUUUCCCCCUUAUUUGUUAUAUUAAUUAAAUAAAUCUCAAUUUAUAUAUUUCCUGUUUUUGUUCAUGUCCAUAAAUACUUAAACAUGCUUGAAAUUAAAACGAGCUUUUAACAGU